rnacentral:SRP_RNA from 1 species
UUGGGCUAGACCGGGAUGCUUGGCGUAUCCUUGUAUACCGAAACCGUCAAUACGCGGAGGUGACAGCCGGGGACGGGGUCUAUGGAAAGUGCGAGCCCACUGAGUGACAAUGAGAUCCUGUCUUGCGGGGUCGGCGUUUAUGUCCGAAACGGCCGGAGGGUCGUCAGGGGCAUAUCAAUCGCGGGAACCGGGUCAGGUCCUGACGGGAGCAGCCUUACCGUGAGCUACUGACGCUCGCAGGGAAGCGGGGUCGAGGAAUGAUGUGACAAACUCGCACUGGAAGUUACUUCAA